AUGGAACAUAUAUGAAAAAAACAGAGAAAAGGAGAGAGAGACGCACGAGAAACAGAGUCCUGGAUUCUCCUCAUCUCUCCCAAAUCGCCGCCAUCAAUCGCCUCGUAUCCCUCCUCCGACCCACCUCGCCGCCGGCCCUUCCCCUCCGCUCCUUCCACCUCGCAGCUCUAGUGGCUGCCGGAUCCGCCCAAUCCCCACCCACUCAUCCCUCUCGCGUCCCAUCUCCCUCUCUUCACACGGCUCCUUCUACGCCACCUGCGACGGUUGACUCAGGCGACGUCCGGCGAACCCCGCCACCGUGAAGCACAGCCUAAGUCCCCCUCGCACCACGGCGCCCUCCCAUCAGGUUAGAUCUGGCGCUCGCGGUCACCAAAGCCCACCCGCGACCCUCCCCCCAUGGCUCUUAGGGUUUCAGGCGUCGGCUCCGGUGGCCGUCGUCCACCUCCCAUCCGGGAGGAACCGCCAGUGGACAUCCUUGCAGAUACUCGGGAUAAAGCAGCCAUGGAGCUUCCUCCUAUUCCUCUGGCUUCGGGGCAACAACAUUGUAGGGAACGAUUGUCUUUCUAGUAAGCUAUUCUGAAGCCCAUCUACGUCUUGGAGCAGCAACCAGUGUGUUUGAGGUAAUUUGUACAGAAAACACCAGGUACAUGGUUAGGAAUCAGGUCGAAGUCUAAUUACAGUAUCUCCCCAAGGCUCCAAUCCUUUUCUUUUCCAAUCUUUAAUAUUCUAUUAUUCAAGUUUUUACAAUGCAAAAAUCCAACAUAUGUUCUUUUAGGCUAAUUACUAAAUAAAUCUAACGAUAGUCCAUGUGGCGGCGGAGGUGUAGCGAUGGUAGUUUGAAGCAGAUUAGGCGGCCGCAAGCGUCUCUGGUGCCAAGGCUGUUGAGUAGAGGAUCUGGCCAUGUGGCAAUUCAUUUUCUAUUCUCCAUCCUUUAAGGUCAUAACAGAAGAAAUAACUAUGCAAUUGACUUGAUCACUAUUGUUUUAUCUAGAAAAAAAUAUGUUUUGUACGCAUGUAUUGAUGAGUACUCCUCUUGACUCGAUUGUGUUGCAAGGAGUGAAAGAAUCCAGUUGGGUGGUCUGCAGCUCUGAUCACCUCCAGCAUCACCACAUAAUCAAAGUUCCAAACAGUAGUGCUGCACUGCUACCUCCAGCCAGCAUUUCACUUUGAUGUUUAUAGGUGGCUUAACAUGAUCAUUUGAUGUGUAUCUUAUGUAGAAGAUUUGAAUGAUCUACACGCACCAACUCGAUGUAUGGUGACUCCAUGGAGCAAGUCAAGUUCGUGGAGCAAGUCAUGGACGAUGCCAUGGAAGAUUCAAAAUAUAUAUGGAUGAUUAUAAUGGUGCGUGGCAAGUAUAUUGCAAUGAUGAUGAUGUUCCGGUUCAUGAUGAUGAUGAUGUUCCGGUUCAUGAUGAUAAUGAUGGAUGCUAUCAGUUUUAGUUAAGUUGUAGGGAUGAUGUUCCUGUCUGAUGAUGUUCCCCAGUUAAGUUAGUUUAAGUUGUAGGGAUGUUGAAGGAUGCUUUCUAUUUAAGUUUCGCUGUCAAGAAAAUAUUUAGAUUAUGCAUCAAAUUUGGAUGAUGUUUCCCCUGCAAUAUCAACCAUUGUAAUCCAACAACUUUAUCCAAUAUAUGAUUUCUUUCUCUAA